rnacentral:rRNA from 1 species
GACGAACGCUGGCGGCGUGCUUAACACAUGCAAGUCGAACGGGCCCGCUCUCUUUUUUGGGGGUGGGUUGAGUGGCGAACGGGUGAGUAUCACGUGAGUAACCUGCCCCCUGCUCCUGGAUAACUGCUUGAAAGGGCGGCUAAUACGGGGUGUGCCGGCUGGUCCGCAUGGGCCUGGUCGGGAUAGUUUCAUCUUCUGGUGUUUCGGUGGGGGAUGGGCUCGCGGCCUAUCAGCUUGUUGGUGGGGUGAUGGCCCACCAAGGCGGUGACGGGUAGCCGGCCUGAGAGGGUGGGCGGCCACACUGGGACUGAGACACGGCCCAGACUCCUGCGGGAGGCAGCAGUGGGGGGUAUUGCACAAUGGGCGGAAGCCUGAUGCAGCGACGUCGCGUGAGGGAUGGAGGCCUUCGGGUUGUGAACCUCUUUCUCCGGUGGUGAAGGCCCUGUCCGUUGCGGCGGGGUUGACGGUAGCCGGGUAUGAAGCGCCGGCUAACUACGUG